ACUUCAUGCUUGCCUUUCAUUAUAAUCCAAUUGAGACCCGCAGCCAUGCCUCGUGCAGGACAAGCUGAGAGUAGCACAGGGUUCAGUACUAGGACCCCUGCUCUUUGUGUUGUAAAUAAAUGAUAUGCCCACUGCUGAUGCCGAUGACAAAACUUAACUAGUAUGUAGUGACUCAGUGAAAGAUUUGAAAAAGAGAGUCAGCGCGAACAUGCAAAUGGCUGAAAGGUAGUGUAGUCAAUGCUUGAUAUGUGACAGUACAUGUCAGUAUGCUAUACCAGUACUGCUGGUUUAAGAUGUGUAAACUUUAAAAAAAAAAGAAAAAAGAAAAAAAAGAAAAAGAAAACAAAUACCCAGAAGUUCUGGAACCUCUCUUUUUACAGCUCAAGUGACAUCAUCAAAUCAGCACUUUCUGUACCAUCAUCCACCUACUGCAGCUGAUGGUGGCAUGCAUGGACAAACUUGAAGAGAGCAAGGAAUGUGGCCACAGACCAGAAACUUGAGGCCUGGCAGAGUUACGUACAACAUUUGGAGCAACAUUUUCUCACACAUCAUUUAUCAGACAUUGGAUGUGUGGCAGCAUGGUGAUUAUAUGUCACCUCUGACUGACAAAACAAACAUCAUUGCCCUGUGCAGUAGAGUGAACAAUAAUAUCUGUGACACUUUAGUAUGAGUCGAACCUCUGAUGAGUGUAGACCACAGUGUAUCUGACAAGUGUAGACCACAGUGUAAUUCUGUUUAGCAAAUAAAGUAGGGAUUUGUCUACCGCA
rnacentral:lncRNA from 1 species